rnacentral:rRNA from 1 species
GUGCGAGACCGAUAGCGAACAAGUACCGUGAGGGAAAGAUGAAAAGAACUUUGAAAAGAGAGUUAAAGAGUACCUGAAACUGCUGAAAGGGAAUCGAAUCGUUUCCAGUGUUAAGUCCUUGUAUACUUCAACUUUAGAGUAGUUUUUAAUUAUUCCGAGGUUGUUUGUACUUGGUACAUGACGCCAAAGUCAGUUUGUAUUCCGUGGGAAAUGAAUAUUGAGGAGGUAGUCCGCAACGCAGAUGUUAUAUCUCGAUAAUUCAGUAGUCAUGGACGAGACUGAGGGACCUAU